UGGGGAAUCUUGGACAAUGGGCGCAAGCCUGAUCCAGCCAUGCCGCGUGAGUGAUGAAGGCCCUAGGGUCGUAAAGCUCUUUCGCCUGUGAAGAUAAUGACGGUAGCAGGUAAAGAAACCCCGGCUAACUCCGUGCCAGCAGCCGCGGUAAUACGGAGGGGGUUAGCGUUGUUCGGAAUUACUGGGCGUAAAGCGCGCGUAGGCGGAUUAUUAAGUCAGAGGUGAAAUCCCGGGGCUCAACCCCGGAACUGCCUUUGAUACUGGUAGUCUUGAGUUCGAGAGAGGUAAGUGGAAUUCCGAGUGUAGAGGUGAAAUUCGUAGAUAUUCGGAGGAACACCAGUGGCGAAGGCGGCUUACUGGCUCGAUACUGACGCUGAGGUGCGAAAGUGUGGGGAGCAAACAGGAUUAGAUACCCUGGUAGUCCACACCGUAAACGAUGAAUGCCAGUCGUCGGGUAGCAUGCUAUUCGGUGACACACCUAACGGAUAAGCAUCCGCCUGGG
rnacentral:rRNA from 1 species